UAUCUUCUACCGUGUCAGAAUUUUGUACCGAAGGGAAAGCUGUAACAUUGUAGUAAUUAAAAUAAAAACAGUAAAUGGACCAAAGUAUUGGAUCACCUGACUUUUCCAGCCAUAUGUGCUUCUAUGUGUCACACAAGUUGGAGUCCUUAAAUGUGGUACAUGGGUUACAUGGGUUGGAAUGGAAGAUCUCCUGCUAUAGAGCUCUGAACUCUGAAAACCUUUAAGAAGAAUGUGACUGCACUUCAGGCCUCCUCACUUCACCCACAUCAGUAGCUGACUUUACUAACACCCCUGUAGACAAAUCUCUUGUUUUGUUUUCUAUUGCAGCAUCUACCAAAGUGUGAUCCUGAAAUAUCCUGAAAUAUUGUUAUGCUCUGCUCUUGGAUGCAUCUUGUGGAAGUAGGGGUGCAUAUACUUUUGCAUGGCUUAUGGGAUUUAUUUAUAGCAGCCCUUCUCCCAACCUGCUCACCCAAACAGAUGUUGUCCUGAAGUGAAAUUCAUUCAAAUGAAACGAGGAAGCUCAGAGCGUCUUAAAGCCUAUAAACAUGAUUAAGAGGGAAAUAAAGCCGUCAGCAGCAUCUAUGAGUCAUGCGUCUUUGUCUCACCUGGAGGCCGGUGUGUGGAAAAACAACCCCAGAUCCCUGGAACUGAUCUCAAAUUACUUCACUUGAUUUUGCCUUCAAAAUACAAAAGAUGCCUUUGGUUUUGUGUGAAACAGAUGCCAUUCAUUCACAUUUACAUCAGUCCUCCUUUAAACUGAAUAAUUCCCAUUAUAGAUAUGAACUAUUGUUUAUAUCAUUUAUAUUAUAUUGUGUUUGAAUAUAUUGUUGUUAAAUUAUGAAGAUCUUCUAGUCUCUGGGCUGCUUUCAGUUAUGGAGGUAAUGAUAUAACAGUGGUUGAUACCCUAUAAUGGGACUAAUUGGGGGGGUACCCAGUAACAGGGGUCAGUAUACUGUAACAGUGAUCAGUACCCUUUAACAAACUGGUCAGUACCCUGUAAUGAGGGUCAGUAUCCUGUAGCAGUGAUCAGCACUGUUAUGGUGGUCAGUACCAUUUAACAUGAUCAGUACACUGUAACAGGGUUCGUUAGAAUGUAACACUGUACACUUUAAUGUGGGUCAGUUCACUCUAACGGCAGUCAGCGAACUGUAACUGGAUUCAGUAUUCUGUAACAGGGG